rnacentral:rRNA from 1 species
CGUAUGGAGCAAGCGUUAUCCGGAUUUACUGGGUGUAAAGGGAGUGUAGGUGGCCAUGCAAGUCAGAAGUGAAAUCCGGGGCUCAACCCCGGAACUGCUUUUGAAACUGUAAGGCUAGAGUGCAGGAGGGGUGAGUGGAAUUCCUAGUGUAGCGGUGAAAUGCGUAGAUAUUAGGAGGAACACCAGUGGCGAAGGCGGCUCACUGGACUGUAACUGACACUGAGGCUCGAAAGCGUGGGGGAGCGAAACAGGAUU